UACGUAGGGUGCGAGCGUUGUCCGGAAUUAUUGGGCGUAAAGAGCUCGUAGGCGGUUUGUUGCGUCGGCCGUGAAAACCUGCAGCUUAACUGUGGGCCUGCGGCCGAUACGGGCAGACUUGAGUUCGGUAGGGGAGACUGGAAUUCCUGGUGUAGCGGCGAAAUGCGCAGAUAUCAGGAGGAACACCGGUGGCGAAGGCGGGUCUCUGGGCCGAUACUGACGCUGAGGAGCGAAAGCUAGGGGAGCGAACGGG
rnacentral:rRNA from 1 species